GGAACUGGUUGAAUUGUUUGUACUGGGGAAAUACGUGGGCUGUGUGGUGUUUGGGAGGAGCCACUGAUGAUUUGCAACGGUCAACAGAUGUGAGGCAAGACGAUUGUUGUUGCAGCAUGGUGGCCCACAGCACCCCAGUUCGAUUCCACCCUCGGGCGACUGUCUGUGUGGAGUUUGCACGUUCUCCCCGUGUCUGCGUGAGUUUCCUCUGGGUGCUCCGGUUUCCUCCCACAGUCCAAAAGAUGUGCAGGGUCUCCUCAGCUUUAUGAAUCUAAGAUGAGCGACUCAAACUUCAAUGUAAUUUGCUGGAGGUUUGACUUAUCCUGAUCUGGUGGUCGUAUACUUAUUGGGAAAGCAGGAGGACUGCAGCGGUUCAAGAAGGCAGCUCACCACCACCUUCUCAAGGGGCAACAAGGGAUGAGCAAGAAAUGCUGGCCCAGGCAGCGACGCCCACAUCCCACAAAUGAAUACAUGAAGAAAUCUUAUCUUAAACUGGUCCAUAAGGACUUUCCAGAUCUUUUCUGGAUCUUUUGAUUAGCAUGGAGAGGCCGGAUACAUUAAUCCUGUGAAGAUAUUUGCUUUCUUUUUAAGAAGUAGAAUGUGCUCCAAUAUUUGUUUAUUCCUAUUAUUAGUUAUGCUUCUCUCUUAUUUUUGUUUUCCUGUCUGCUUCUGUUUCCCUGUAUUUUCCUUGUUGCCAUCCUUUUACUCUAUUUGGUCCCUUUCAAUGUGUUGUUUUAAGACUGUUGCCCGAUUAAAGUGGAACGCUUGUAGCUACAGGUCCCAGUGUCUGUAUGGUAUUGUACCAAAUGUGGGGUGAUGGUGUCAUGCAGACUUCCUUC